rnacentral:lncRNA from 1 species
UUUGGACAAGUCUUACUUUAUAGCCUAGGCUGACCUCAAAGUUUUUGUCUUGUCUCACGUCCCAAGCACUGCAGCUGGUAAGUACGAGCCCCUGCCCAAUAGUGAAACUAAGUUUUAUUGUUCUUAUUUCAGAUCUUAACAGGUCUUAACAUUUAAAACUGCACCGACUUUGGGCUAUAGCACACUAACUCAGCCCUUCCUUUCAGAAGUCAUGUUAUCCAUACAUCUACCUGCAGAUAAGGAAACAAUUCUUUCUGCAAGUAAACAGUCAGGCUGCUGGAGUGCCGGUGCUGGCUGGGACUGAGCUCUGUCCACUACAGCUACUCUGAAGCCAUCCAUCCCCUGUCCCGAAAGCAGCCUGUGGAGUCAAGGGAGGACCCCUCCAGGAUGCAGAUGUCCUUUAUCCAGCUGGGAGAGAAGACUCCUUGCGGAAGUGGCCCCUGGAUUUUCCACUGUGGCACGUACCUGCCUCUUCUCGGAGGAUGGACGAGUCGAACCGGGCACAAGCAUGGAGCUGCGGAUGAGUCCUGGCUGGUACUGGCGCGGCGCAGCGAGCAGUGGCUGACGCAGAGGGCUCCCUGGCCUCGCUCGGUGCCUGCCCGCCUCUCCCCCACCUCCGCCGGGGGCCCAGAAAGGACCUCCCCGGGAAAUCGGCGCCACCCAGCGGGCAGCAGCCUCAUUGCGCCCGGGCCGGCCAAACCACACCCCGCGUUUGCGUCACUGAUAUACGUCAUGGCUAUUGGCUUGUUCCUAUUGUUGCGUCAGUAGAGCCCCGCCCGGCGCGCAUCUCCCAGGUAACCGGGUAUAUACAGAGAACCACGUGGAGAAAAAGCACGCCUGUUUGGAGCCGGUGGCGCAAGGAAAGAAGUGGACUGGAAUCUGAUAGGUCCUGGCGCUGGGAAGACUGAGACAGAGGGUCA